rnacentral:rRNA from 1 species
AACGUAGGGGACAAGCGUUAUCCGGAUUUACUGGGCGUAAAGCGCCCGUAGGCGGCCUGACAAGUUGGACGUGAAAGCUCCUGGCUUAACUGGGAGAGGCCGUUCAAAACUGUCAAGCUAGAGUCUGGAAGAGGAGAGCGGAAUUCCCGGUGUAGUGGUGGAAUGCGUAGAGAUCGGGAGGAACACCAGUGGCGAAAGCGGCUCUCUGGUCCAAAACUGACGCUGAGGGGCGAAAGCGUGGGGAGCGAACCGG